rnacentral:rRNA from 1 species
GAGUUUGAUCUUGGCUCAGAUUGAACGCUGGCGGCAUGCCUUACACAUGCAAGUCGAACGGCAGCACGGGAGCUUGCUCCUGGUGGCGAGUGGCGAACGGGUGAGUAAUGCAUCGGAACGUAUCCUGGAGUGGGGGAUAACGUAGCGAAAGUUACGCUAAUACCGCAUAUUCUGUGAGCAGGAAAGCGGGGGACCUUCGGGCCUCGCGCUCUUGGAGCGGCCGAUGUCGGA